AGAUCCGCCCCUGGGACAAAGAUAUAAUGAACUACCAAGAAAGGCUGGGAAGUCUUAUGUUGAUGUCCGUUGAGGACGAUUUAUUGGAGGAGUUUGACGUAGAACUCGUUAAUUAAAGGGUUGUGGAUAUGGUUCCAAGAAGAAUGGAUUCAGUUUAGAUCUUUAAAAGUUAAAUUAAGUGUUUGUUAUUAUUAUAGCAUGCCAAUAGUUCUCAACUUUACUUGGUAUUUUAUGAGAAGUAGCCUAAUGCAAUGAUGAGAAUACAGAAAGUGGCGUCUAAUAAACCCAGAAUUAUCUAAUCAUAUUGGGAUUUUCUCUCUCCAACACCUUCGAGCUGGAAUGUGUGAGGCCUGUUUCAUAUGUACGUCCCAUUAUCGUCAAAUUUUAAUAAUUCAGACGAAUUCAACUGAACGACAUAAAUUCCACUGUAUAAUGCAUCGUAUCAAUGAUUUAAAUUCUUCUGAUAAAUUUAAUUCAUCUAUGUCGUUUUGUCUGUUAUGAUCAGACGGAUAAAACGUCUGUAGCGACAUCGUUUAAAUACUGACGUCAGAAUUAUGUUAAUGCGAGUUUCUGAUCCGGCUGUAGGUCAUAUUUUGUGCCAGUUUCUAAUUCAUGAUCCAGGGCCUAUAUUUAGUGCAGUAUUGAUUGAAAAGUGUGCUGCAGUUUUUAAUGCAAAAGUGUGAAUGUGCAGGAUUGAAAAUUUGAACUUUUUAGUUUUAACAUAGUGC